AUCGGUCGGGGCGUUCCGGUCGCUUCGAGUCAAAGGCCAUUGCCAUCACAUUCAUCUCAUCGCCGAAGCAGAGCGAAAACUUUAAGCGGAUUCUGGCCAAGGCAGGCACAGGCAUGUCCGUUCUGCAGUUGCCAACAGAAGGGCCGCCGUCGAAGGGAUUUAAUUACUUUGCAUUUGAUGCUUAUGAGUUUCCGUAUUACUUUAAUUCGGAAGCAAACGAGCAGGACGAGAAUUAGUUGAAUCAAAUCAAGAAGGCCACCAAACUGGCCAUUAAAAUAGCCAACGAAAAGGCAUCCAGAUAUCUGUAUCCAGUGGUGGUAAAGACACAGGAAGAGAGACAGGAGGCAGAGGCAUUCAGAGAGACAGUCAGACAGACAGCCAUAGUGACAGGAAGAGAGACAGGCAGAGAGACAGUCAGAGAGAAAGGCAGAGAGACAGGAGGCAGAGAGACAGAAAGAGAGACAGGCAGGCAAAGAGGUUCACAGACAUAAGCAACUAUAUAAGGAGGCCUCGUCCGCCCCAAUUCUCAGUGCACGUUUGCUUGUCGACGCGGAAGGUUGGUUGCGGACAACAUUUUUUUUCAAUUUUAUUUUAAAUGUUUAUUUUUUCAGAACAGUCUACUAUUAUUAUGUAUGUAUGUAUAUAUGUAUGUAGGUAUGUACAUAUGUAUGUAGUUAUGUACAUAUGCAGUCAGAGAGACAGCAAGUAGAGGGACAGGCAGAGAGGGAGACCCGUACCACCGAUUAACAAGCAACAAAUUGAUUCAUCAAUCGCUUAAAAUCUUCUUUAAGUUCUGAAAGUCUAAACUAAAUGGUAAUAUUAAUCAAAACAUCAAAAUUGAGGUAAAUAUUUAUUAUCUAUAGUAUAUAUGGAAGUGUGAACGUAUAUUAUUUUUGGUUUAUUUCUGGGGUAUUUUUGUGCUCACAUUUGAAACGCAAAAAUGCAUACGGGAGAGCGUUUCAUAGGAGAGAAUUUCCCUGACCGUUUAGAGACAGGAAUGAAUUUCCCUGUAUAUGAACAGCGCGC
rnacentral:lncRNA from 1 species